rnacentral:rRNA from 1 species
CGCGGUAUACCGUACAGGCAAGCUAUCCGUAUUUACUAUGUUAAGGAGAGCGUAGAUCGGCUGUGCAGUAUGAGUGAAAAUGACCGAGGCCCACCCCCCGCAACUGCUUUUGUAGACUGUACAGCUAGAGUGCAGGAGGGGGUGAGCGGGAGUCCUCAUGUAGCGGUGAAAUGCGUAGAUAUUAGGAGGAACACCGGUGGCGAAGGCGGGCUCACUGGACUGUAACUGACGUUGAGGCUCGAAAGCGUGGGGGAGCAAACACGAAUAGAUACCCUGGUAGUCUACGCCGUAAACGAUGAUUAAUAGGUGUCGGGGGGGCAAGGCCCUUCGGUGCCGGCGCAAACGCACUAAGUAAUCCACCUGGGGAGUACGUUCGCAAGAAUGAAACUCAAAGGAAUUGACGGGGACCCGCACACGCGGUGGAGCAUGUGGUUUUAUCUGAAGCAACGCGAAGAACCUUACCCGGCCUUGACAUCCCGAUGAAUGUACAGUAAUGUGUACAGGACUUCGGUACAUCGGAGACAGGUGGUGCAUGGUUGUCGUCAGCUCGUGUCGUGAGAUGUUGGGUUAAGUACCGCAACGAGCGCAACCCCUGCCCUCAGUAGCCAGCAGGUAAAGAUGGGAACUUUGAGGGGACUGCCCGGGAUAACCGGGAGGAAGGCGGGGAGGACGUCAAAUCAUCAUGCCCCUUAUGGCCGGGGGUACACACGUGCUACAAUGGCGGAAACAGAGGGAAGCAGCCCCGUGAGGGUGAGCGAACCCCAAAAAUACCGCCUCAGUUCGGAUUGUAGUUUGCAACCCGACUACAUGAAGCCGGAAUCGCUAGUAAUCGCGAAUCAGAAUGUCGCGGUGAAUAAGUUCCCGGGUCUUGUACACACCGCCCGUCA